GCCGCUUAACAGGUGAUCCGACA
rnacentral:siRNA from 1 species